rnacentral:rRNA from 1 species
AGCAGCCGCGGUAAUUCCAGCUCCAAUAGCGUAUAUUAAAGUUGUUGCAGUUAAAAAGCUCGUAGUUGAAUUUCGGGAUCAAUAUGUUGGUCGUGCCUUGGUACGUACUAAUUUAUUGGUUUCUUCCUUCUGACGAACCUUGAUGUCAUUAAUUUGGUGUCUUGGGGAAUCGGGACUGUUACUUUGAAAAAAUUAGAGUGUUUAAAGCAGGCUCACGCUUGAAUACAUUAGCAUGGAAUAAUGAAAUAGGACGUUUGAUUCUAUUUUGUUGGUUUCUAGGAUCGACGUAAUGAUUAAUAGGGAUAGUUGGGGGCAUUAGUAUUCAAUUGUCAGAGGUGAAAUUCUUGGAUUUAUUGAAGACUAACUACUGCGAAAGCAUUUGCCAAGGAUGUUUUCAUUAAUCAAGAACGAAAGUUAGGGGAUCGAAGACGAUCAGAUACCGUCGUAGUCUUAACCAUAAACUAUGCCGACUAGGGAUCGGAUGAUGUUAAUUUUUUAAUGACUCACUCGGCGCCUUACG